ensembl:lncRNA LINC00663 long intergenic non-protein coding RNA 663
AGGGGCAGACACUUAACCUGUGUCUAAAGCACUGCUGGCCGCCGAUUCUACGCCGCCCGGUCGCCAGGGAGAGUGAAUACAGCUAGGGACGUGAAAGGCAGGUCUGGGCUGGGCAUUGAGGAGGGUAUUAAGCUAGGAAGUAUGCCUUACCUUUAUCUAAAUCGGGCGGGUCGUCCUCCCCUCAUUGGCCUUGUGCAGCUCGGAUUCCUCUCUCACCCGCACCCAGGGGUCUUCCCAGAGCAUUGCGUCGUCUCCAGCCCAGGGAGCCGCCUUCUUUCCUAAACUGCUAUAGACACUGUCCUGAUGUCUAAGACAAUGUACUUUGUGCCGCAGGCCUCUGCCUUCCCUAGCCAGAGCGCGAGCUCAGCCGCUUUUGAGAGAAAUCUGCCACCUGGCCUACCUGUGCACAACUUCAGAGCUUUGCAGGGGGUGACAAGGGCUGUGGCUUCAGGGAAAUGUCACGCGCACUGGCACCUUUUUCGCGAAUGUGAAAAUUGAGAAAUCAAGAAGGUUAAUUAUAGGGUUGCCCAGGAUCUGCCAAGAGCAAAGAAGAAAACCCCAUUUCCCAGGCAUGUGUCUUGUGAGCCAUUUUUUAUCAACCCACUUAAGUGGACAAGCUCCAAAACACAACAUGAAGCUGAUGAUAAUUUAGGCAAUUUACGUUUGAAAUCAUCGGCCUCAUCUCAAGGCAGUGUCUUAGAGACACAGGUGGGACCUGAUCCCUCAGGAACAGAUAGCGUUCCAGCUUUGUGGGAUUGACUUUUGAGAUAUGGAGCACUUCGGGGUCAAUUGAAACCCGUCAGGUUUCACAUCUCUGCUUUGGAUAGAAAGCCCAUCACCCACAGCUGUCAGAGAUGUUCCUUGACUCACUGGGGCUCAUCUGUUGAAUUUUUCUAUCUAGAUAAUGGAAACAUCUAGGAGCACUUCUGCUUCCAUGUAAACUCUUAAUAAUUGAUGUCCCUAAAAUUCUGUGUUCUCAGGGACAGUUCCUUUGGUUCCCAGAUGGUACCAGCUUUCAUGUUGUUACAUCUAAUAUGUAAAAACCUGGAUGUUAACCUCCAAGACAUUGUUCACGUCACACAUUCCAGUAUUUUUCAUUUGUGAUUUCUGAAUGUAGGACAAUAUCAAAGAACUGAAAACCUGGUCAUAAAAAUUGGACCCUAUUACUGCACUUAGUGAAUAAUUUACCCCUUAGGGUUAAUUACACCUGAGUUCAUCAGCACCUGUGUAAAGAAAGAAAAAAAAAUUGUGGCAUCUGCCAGGCGCAGUGGCUCAAGCCUGUAAUCCCAGCACUUUGGGAGGCCGAGGCAGGUAGAUUACCUGAGGUCAGGAGUUCAAGACCAGCCUAGUCAACAUGGCGAAACCCCAUCUCUACUAAAAAUACAAAAAUUUGCCGGUCGUGGUGGUAGGCGCUAUAAUCCCAACUACUCGGGAGGCUGAGACAGGAGAAUCGCUUGAACCCGGGGGGCGGAGGUUGCAGUGAGUCUAGGUCAAGCCACUUCAUUCCAGCCUGGGCGAAAGGGCGAAACUCCAUCUCAAAAAACAAAACAAAACAAAACCACGUGGCACCUAUGCAUGUGGCAAGAUGAGGAAGUAUAGGGAGACCACAGCACAUUUCUAGGGCUCUUCUUUUGUUUUAAAUAGUGCCUGUGGGGAAAGUCUAUGUGAUCCAGAGCACACAUCCCUUCCCUAGCCCUCUGUUUUCAUCCUCCUCCUUCCUGUGCCCUCUUUAGGUGAGGGUGUCUGAUUACCCUCGCCCACAAGUGUUGUAUGGGGAUGUUGUAACAUAACCAUAUCCAUCUUCUCAAAAUGAGGAUUAAUAGAGAGGAGUGUCUUGGGACUUGUGUUCAGAUGCACUGCUGUUUGGUGUGUGGCUGCUCUCAGCAGUCCCACGGCAGCUGUCUGAAAAGAUUGGUACAGAUGUAGCCACAGCUGGUGUUCACAGGGCUGGGUGCUUCUUGUGGUUUGGUGUCUUUUGUUUAGAUUUUGUGGCUCUGACCCUCUUCUGCUUAUCCAUUCCUGGUAGUAUCUGCGAGGUUGCCUCGUUUGUUCCACUUGUUUCCUGGAAGCUUGUUGUGUAAUUUUAUUUCCCAGGAUCUUUGGGAUUCUAUUCUCACUAGACCAGUCACUGUCCACUGGCCCUGUACUUAUCUUGCGGGAGCCCCCAUGUUCAUCCUUUCCAGUGGAGCUAGGAAGAAUUCUAGUUACUUCUAAAUCUUCUAAUUCUGAUGCUGUUGGGCCAUUUAUUAAGCUGGGAAUUUUGUCUUUGGGCUCAUGGACAUUAUUCCAAAGGUUGUCUUGUCUUUGGGCUCAUGAACAUUAUUCCAAAGGUUGCAGUGAGCCGAGAUCACACCAUUGCACUCCAGCCUGGGGUACAAGAGCGAGACUUCAUCUCAAAAAAAAUAAAUAAAUAAAUAAAUAAAAAAUAAAAUUAUGAUUUCAGUUUCUUCCUAGUGUAGGGCAAUUCAAAAAUAUCAGUUUUUUAAUUGGGUAAUUAUAAUAAUUUAUGUUUUGAGUGAUUAAAUCAUUUCAUCUAAGCUGUUAAA